rnacentral:rRNA from 1 species
GCUGAUUCCGGGGUAGCAAUAUUCCGGGGUCGGAGCGGCGCAAGGGUGCGUAACACGUGGGCAAUCUGCCGUGAAGUUCGGGACAACUUGCUGAAAGGCGAGCUAAUACCGGAUGUGGCCAUUGGGAGGCAUCUUCUGAUGGCUGAAGUUGGGGACCGCAAGGCCUGACGCUUCAUGAUGAGCCCGCGGCCUAUCAUCGGUAGUUGGCGGGGUAACGGCCCACCAAGCCUGAGACGGGUAGCUGGUCUGAGAGGACGACCAGCCACACUGGAACUGAGACACGGUCCAGACACCUACGGGUGGCAGCAGUCGAGAAUUUUUCACAAUGGGCGAAAGCCUGAUGGAGCGACGCCGCGUGGGGGAUGAAUGGCUUCGGCCCGUAAACCCCUGUCAUUCGCGAUCAACCCUUGUUAUUUAAAAGAUGACAAGCUGAUAGUAGCGGAAGAGGAAGGGACGGCUAACUCUGUGCCAGCAGCCGCGGUAAUACAGAGGUCCCAAGCGUUGUUCGGAUUCACUGGGCGUAAAGGGUGCGUAGGUGGUGAGGUAAGUCGGAUGUGAAAUCUCGGAGCUCAACUCCGAAACGGCAUUGGAAACUACCUUGCUCGAGGAUUGGAGGGGGGACUGGAAUACUUGGUGUAGCAGUGAAAUGCGUAGAUAUCAAGUGGAACACCAGUGGCGAAGGCGAGUCCCUGGACAACUCCUGACACUGAGGCACGAAAGCUAGGGGAGCAAACAGGAUUAGAUACCCUGGUAGUCCUAGCCGUAAACGGUGCAUGUUUGCUGUAAAAGGAAUCGACCCCU